UCUUUGGAUCUUCAACGGCAGCAGCACCAUGGCUGCCCUUUUCUCUCCUCCUUUCCCUUGGCCUUCACUCUUAAUUUCUCUCACAUCCAUGGAAGUUGUUCUUCAUCUUCAAAAUUCUAAAGCUUUUAUAAUCCUCUUCAGAUUAUUAUUGAUUGAUGUUGUGAUUUUGCCCCAAUUCUUCUGAAAUCAAUUGAAUUCAAAUAAUACCCAACUCUCCAAAUCCCUCAUGAACGAUUUAAUUGAUAUUACCCAAUCACCAAAACCUGGUUUGUAGAUUUGAAGGAGAUGGUGGCUCUUGGGCGUUGGGGGUGGUGUCGAUUCUUGGGUCACCGAAUCCUUGGGGUGGUGUCGACUCUUGGGCAGCCGAACAAGAAGAAGGAGAGGACUUGAAAGUCACAGGUCUUCCCCAAAUCACACCGGGAACAGAAAUAGCAAUGGAGGUGGAGAUCGACGAGAAAGAGAUCAAAUCCGCCGGCGGAGAAGCUUUGACCGAUGGGCGGCGAGGAUUGCGUAUUCACGGCUGGGAGAUCGAGACUUCAAGAAGGAGAGAGAAAAUCCAGCCACCGCGACCUCCGCCAGAACAAACACCUAGAGCUUAUCGGAGAAGCCAAUGUCAGAGAAACCAACGUCGUGGGUUCGAUGAUGAUAGGAGACAGAAAAGAUGAGAUUUCGAGGGCUGAUGAGGUUGAUAAUUGGGCCUCUAUGAAGAAGCAAUUUCAAUGGUGAAUAGUGGAAGAGGGUAGCGGUGGUGGUGAUGGUGGGGGUGAUUCUCAUAUAAUGGUAAUGGUGAAGAAGAGGAGAGAGACUUCCAUGGGAAGAGGAAAGAAUAAAGAAAAAGAAAGAGAAAGGAAGAGAAGAAAGAAAAGGGAAAUAGAAAAAAAAAAUUAGAGUUAAGUUAACGGAAAAAUUAACAGAAUAGACGGAAAACAGUCAAUAAGGGUAUUUGAUGAUAUUGUUUUAAACCUCGGGGGUAUUUGGUGCAUUCUGGAAACAUUAGGGGUAUUUGGUGCAUUAACGCAAACCUCAGGGGCAUUUGAUGAAAAAUCCGUUAUAAUAUUGUUAGGAAUUCGUAAAUGUUACCCGAUUAUAUCAAAAUUCUCUUUUUCUGAAAGGAAAUAUGUUUAUAAUCACCUCAAGUUGCUUGUUUUUACCGUCUCUUUUUGGGAUUCAAAAAUCUACUUCUAUUUGAUCUAUGCACAUGAUAAAACAAUCUAGGAUUUGUAGAUGGGAUUCAAAAAUCUACUUCUAUUUGAUCUAUGCACAUGAUAAAACAAUCUAGGAUUUGUAGAUAUAAUCACAGAGUUGCUAUUGUUUUGUGCGUGUUCUUGAUAUACAAAUUCUAACUAAAGCUAGAAAAAAACAUAACUCGUUUCAAAUUACAAAACCAACACCAAUCAGUUUAACUGACUUCCCUCCAUAUAUCUCUGCUAAGUAUAUUCUUUAUAUUAUAUGACCACAUGUUUUCUCAUUGAUCCAUGCUUUGGCUUGCCCUUGGACUGGCUUUACUAAACAGUUUUGGGCCUUCAUUAUUCCUAUCAUUACUGGAAGCAAAAGGUGGAAGAUUUUUCAUUCCAGAGGAAAGUGAAGAGAAAGUACGUUCAGUGAGCCCAAUGGUAGACAAUCUCAGAUGUAAUAAUUUCAAAGAAAAAUGUAAAUGGUGAGAAUGAACACGUAUGUUGAUAUAUGUUUCAUUAUUGUUUGUAUGUAUGAUAUAUAUUUUAUUCUUGUCUGUUCUUUUGUGGUUUCUAAUAGUGUGUUUCACUUAAACCCAGUAGUCAUUAACUCGUCAAGUCACUCUCUUUCUUUCCUCUAUCUGGGCUUAGCCAACUUUUAGAUAAAAUAUCCGUCCAGAUUUUGAAUGAAUGGCUUAUACUUAUAGUACUUCUUUGCUAUUGACCCGGACGGAGGUGAGAUUAUUUGUUUGUAUUUGAGAGGCAGGGUAUCAGAUCAGCAUCUUUGUGAGUAAUUCAGUUCUGAAUUUUCUACUUCGGAAGCUAUCGGCUGCAUGCAAGCAUAUAGUGGUAUGUACACACCCUCGGCCACUAGCUCUAGCUAGAGUAAUCCAGUGUUGAAGCUACUUUAAGUGUUUAACAACAGCAGCAAGCAUAAGAUGUUAAAAGUAGAGCUAGUACACCUUCGAAGGAGCAUUGAAAAAAUCAGCUAAGUCUCUCAUUUCUUAAUUUGUGUUUUACAUUGAGGAAACUGAAAAUGCUUGGCUGGUUGUGUUACAAUGUUCAUCUGGUUUCGUGAAUUAUAUGCUGGAAUUAAUAUAUUGAAUACAGGUUUAAAAAUGCAACAUAUUUAUAUCUAGAAAUUCCAUAUAAUAGAUGUUAUCAUGUUGUUUCUUUCCCUUUUACUCCUUUUGUUUACUGUUGUAGCAGCAUGUUAACUCUGUUUAAGUUUAUUAAAUUAGAUAUUAUAGAGAAGUUUUGAAUGGAAGGGCCUGGAUUUUAGCCAAUAGUAGCAGAUAGUAUGUUAAUCAUGGUCCAAUAAUAAAAAUGGUUGAAUUUGUUAAUUGAAUCAUUUAAUGCCAUCCAUAAGGAGAAUGGUUUAUCACUGUCGUAUAAUGCGUUUUUCAUUGCCGCAUUGGUUGCUUGUCUAAUUCCACCAAAGAAUCACAUGUCUGUAGUUGAAGGUUAGCAAGACCUCCACUUAACCGUUGAUGGCCACUGUCUAAGCUCAUCCAUACUAAUUACCUAUUCCUAGCUAUGUGCUGACAGUUGACCUCCACUAAACUCCUAAUGGCCACUGUCUAUGCCCAGAACCUCCGUAUUACUUUAGAAGUAUCCAGUUUUGUACUUAAGUUACUCAAGGGGAAAGGUAUAGCCCCAAAUUUUUAUUCGUUGAUUGUAAUAUUGAUGUAAUGUGGAAGACAUUUUAAUUUUAUCUAUAUCUAGAGCUUACAACAUUACCUUGGUAAUCAUCUUUUAGAACUGAAUUUCCAGCUCCUAGUGCAUUGCCUGUGUUCACAGUUUCAGGUUUUAUAGAAAAUGAUGUCCUACCAACUUCCCUUGGAUCAAUCACCCAGUUCAGUUGUCCUUGCAUUAGAAUUUCUGGAAUAGGAUUUAAAUGUUAGGUUUUCUUCAACAGGGUUAGACUAUUUAUUGUUAGUUGAGCUGUCAGAUUAAUUAUCUGUAUGAUUUGAUGUAUGCCUGAUUUCGAGUGUCAGGUUUGUAAGGUAACGGGGAUCACAGCUCCUUUCUAAAAAGUAAGCCCCUUCUUCAUCACCGUUAGGCCUCUCCACUGAAAGAAAAACCCUGACCUCUAACUUCAAGUUCAAUGAAAGCCUGUCAGCUCUCGUCAUUUCAACUGGAGGUCCCUAGCUAGAUAAUUGUGAUGUAUUGUUACUUGUUAGACACUUUGAUGAUACCAAAUUGCGAAGCUUUAAGGCGACGAAAUGUUACCAAAAAAGCGUCUCUUAUUGUUGUGUUAUUUACCAAAAAACUAUUUGGCAUGUUAAAUUUUCAUUGCAGAUUAAUGAUGAUGCAAGCGAUAAUGGUGAAACUUAGAUGAAGGGAUAACAAGUUAUCUUCAAGCUAAGCUAUCAUGGCGAUAGGAUUUACUCGCUUAAUUAGUACUUAGUUAGGAAGUUGUUUUUCUUUAGUUUACUAUGUUGAUUAGUGUAGAACAAAUGAUGCUAGAAAGUUGUUUUUGUUUCAAAAUAUUACUUUUCUUUCAGUUCGAGUAGACAAUGCAAAUUAAUGCUUGGAUGAUUCUUAGCA